rnacentral:lncRNA from 1 species
AAAGCUAAGUGAAGAGAGAAGAGGUAGGAAAGAGGUCCACACCUCACAACAUGCUACAGAUUAAUACAAUAUAAUACAAUAGGGUAGAAUAUACACUCUAAUAAAUAUCAAUGAUAGGGAGUCAAAAUGAUAUAAGUCCAUAAUGCCAAAGUAUAGUCUUAAAUGUAUAUUUUAUUUUCAUAUUGUAUACUUGGCACACCACUUCCAUGAGGCCAGUAAUAUGAUUGGGAGGUUAGUAUCGAUGAUAGUUCUGUCAUGUUUCUUUUUCUCUAUCUCCAUAGUCUCCAUUAGCAUCAACAUGUUACAGUCUCAUACCAUUCUCACUAUUAUAGCUUCAUUCCAUCUAAUGUCUACG